CCUACGGGUGGCAGCAGUGGGGAAUAUUGGACAAUGGGCGAAAGCCUGAUCCAGCCAUGCCGCGUGUGUGAAGAAGGCCUUCGGGUUGUAAAGCACUUUCAGUGGGGAGGAAAGCUUUGGGGCUAAUACCCUCGAGGAAGGACAUCACCCACGGAAGAAGCACCGGCUAACUCCGUGCCAGCAGCCGCGGUAAUACGGAGGGUGCGAGCGUUAAUCGGAAUUACUGGGCGUAAAGCGCGCGUAGGCGGUCUGAUAAGCCGGUUGUGAAAGCCCCGGGCUCAACCUGGGAACGGCAUCCGGAACUGUCAGGCUAGAGUGCAGGAGAGGAAGGUAGAAUUCCCGGUGUAGCGGUGAAAUGCGUAGAGAUCGGGAGGAAUACCAGUGGCGAAGGCGGCCUUCUGGACUGACACUGACGCUGAGGUGCGAAAGCGUGGGUAGCAAACAGGAUUAGAUACCCCGGUAGUC
rnacentral:rRNA from 1 species